rnacentral:misc_RNA from 1 species
AUUGAUCAUGUCAUGAUAUGCAUAUGUGAUCCAUGAGUUCUUCAUGUAGAUUUAGAUCUUAUGCGUGACCUCUCAUUCGCUUUUUUUAAAAAUAUUUGCGUUUUGCAUUUGGGUUUUGUUUGGUUUUAGUAUUGGUUUGAGUAUAUCAUUCAAGAUUUUAUUAUUUAUUUUUUAUGUGAUUUCUACUGACUUUACUUUUACUGAUGCUGUUUUACUUGGAUUAAUCACUGUUGCAAAACACUGACUGAUCUAGUAUUUCUUUUGAUUCAUUUUUUGGGUUUCUUUGUUAAAUUUAUUUUAAAAAUGGCAAAUUUUAAGUUUCUUAGGUGUUUUAAGUUGUGGAAUGGCUUAUUUGCUGUUCUUGCUCAUUUGCUGUUCUUGCUCUUUUGUUGUUUUUCAAUCAUUUUGAGUAAAGAUUUGAUCUUGAGUAAAGUUUUACUAAGUACAUAAGAAAUGCUAACUG